CAAAAACCAGCACACACAAAUAAGAAAACUGCAGCUCCUAUUCCAUCAAUCCAAUUUCAGAAUUCAAAAUUCAAAAUCAGAAAUUCAGAUUUAAAGCUUAAGUUUCAGCAGAUCAGAAAUCAAUUCCAGCAAUACGAAUUCAGAUGGGCAGCUUACUCCUGGACAAUUUCAAAGCCCACAUCAGGUUGCAUGCGUUAAACAUGAGAGUGCUUCGCAAAGAAGACCCAGAAAGCGGAGCAUUGCAGCACGGUAAGGUGGUGCG